rnacentral:rRNA from 1 species
UACGUAGGGUGCGAGCGUUGCCCGGAUUUAUUGGGCGUAAAGGGCGCGUAGGCGGCCACGCACGUCCGUUGUGAAAUCGCCCGGCUCAACUGGGCGGGGUCGGCGGAUACGGCGUGGCUGGAGCAAGCUAGGGGGCAAUGGAAUUCCCGGUGUAGUGGUGGAAUGCGUAGAUAUCGGGAGGAACGCCAGUGGCGAAGGCGGUUGCCUGGAGCUUUGCUGACGCUGAGGCGCGAAAGCGUGGGGAGCGAUCCGG